CUAUCUCUCUCUCUCUCUUACCAUUGGCACUGGGAUCCAUAGGUGUCCAAACGACUGGAGCAAGAUUGAAAGUGUAGCUUUGGCACCACAUAGCACCAGAACUCACAGACAUGUCGGACUCGGAGACCGCGGCUGCCCCUGCAGAGGCCCCAGUUCCUGCAGCAUGCACCGGCAUCAAAGCAGACCUGGACAAAUGCGUGGCAGAGAAGGGAGCCGAGGGCUGCAAAGGGCUGAUGGAGGCCUUCGCCGCUUGUGUGAAGAGCGCAGCUGAGGGGACAUCGUGAGGAGUCACCCCCCAGUCUGACAUGUCCAAUGCACUGAGUCCUCCAAGUUCCCAGCAUUCCCUUCUGCACAACAGCACUCGACUGAAUUAUGAUAACAAAAAGAUGAUUAUUGUGGGACAAGCAAGGUGUUGAUCAGUCUGAGUUUGGGAUUUGGAAGCAGAAACCUUAGUUUCCUCGGCCCCUGUUCCUUUUCCUGUUUUAACCUUAUCCGGUGUCCCUCAGUGUUACCAUCAUUCCCCUUCUCCCUCUACAGCCGAUAUCCAGUACAUUGAGAAUUCCAGCGAGAUGAUGGGCUUUGAUGUAACUGUCGAUCGAGAUAAAUGCUUAUAAAUGGAAAUAAAGAAUAAAAUAGUUGGUGUUGAAAAAUA